rnacentral:rRNA from 1 species
CAAUAGCGUAUAUUAAAGUUGUUGCAGUUAAAAAGCUCGUAGUUGGAUUUCGGAGCCGACCGGGCGGUCUGUCGAGAGACACGCACUGCUCGGUGGCUCUUCCUCUCGGGGGCCCUGGCUGCCCUUAACUGGAGCGGGCAGGGGAUUCGGGACGUUUACUUUGAAAAAAUUAGAGUGUUCAAAGCAGGCCGGUGCUUGGAUACAUUAGCAUGGAAUAAUGGAAUAGGGCUUGGGUCCUAUUUUGUUGGUUUUCGGGACCGAGGUCAUGGUUAAGAGGGACAGUUGGGGGCAUUCGUAUUCAAUUGUCAGAGGUGAAAUUCUUGGAUUUAUGGAAGACGAACAACUGCGAAAGCAUUUGCCAAGGAUGUUUUCAUUAA